rnacentral:misc_RNA from 1 species
AUCUUUAUAUUUAUCAUUAGAUAAUUUUUUUUUUAAAGAGUGGGAUAUGUUUUAAAUAUAUAUUUGGACGCAAAACCUCGCGAAACGCGAAGUUCGCCAUAAUUUGUAAUGAUCCUUCCGCAGGUUCACCUACGGAAA